AAAAAUUUAUGAGGUUUUGAGAUUGAAUGAUGCAUUGAGUUCCAAGGAUUGCGGUCAGCGAUUUCAUGAUGCAUGAGAGAGUUCCUGAGAAAAGCGGAGGAUGACGUAAUAAAGAUCCAAGACCAAGAGAGCAUUACAUUAUCAUUGGUGAAGGAGAUAACUGAAUACUUUCAUGGGGAUUCGGCCAAGGAGGAAGCUCACCCGUUCAGAAUUUUCAUGGUGGUAAGGGACUUCCUCACCAUUCUUGACCGGGUUUGCAAAGAAGUCGAUAAAAUUAAUGAGCGCGCCAUCACAAGUACAGCAUGCACGUUGCCAGUGCUCGUCAACCCAGCUGCAUUCUCUGGACUCAAUGUAAUGAGGUCUGGAAGUUCAGAUGAUGAGAGUUCAUCAUCAUCUUAGAAAGAGGCUUCAGUCAUUGAGGACUAGAACUUGUACCAUCAAGAUUUUGUCGUU
rnacentral:lncRNA from 1 species